rnacentral:rRNA from 1 species
GCGCUCAAGGAUGGGCCUGCGGCGGAUUAGGUAGUUGGUGAGGUAAUGGCUCACCAAGCCGAUGAUCCGUAGCUGGUCUGAGAGGAUGAUCAGCCACACUGGCACUGAGACACGGGCCAG